CCCUUAGAUGUUCUGGGCGGCCCGCGCACUACAAUGGCGUGUGCAGCGAGUGCCGAAGUAGAGUUUUCCGAGGUAUUCUUGCAAUGCUCGUUUUGAUGGGGAUAGACCCCUGCAACUGUUGGUUUUGAACGAGGAAUUCCUUGUAAGCAUGGUUUAUCAUCCGACGCUGAAUGCGUCCCUGCCCUUUGUACACACCGCCCGUCGCUCCUACCGAUGAGUCGUCCGGUGAAGUUCGUAGACCUCGUGAUCGCGGAUCACUGGGGGAAGCAAAAUGAACCUCGCGGUUUAGAGGAAGGAGAAGUCGUAACA
rnacentral:rRNA from 1 species